CAGCCGCCGCGGGAAUACGGAGGAUCCAAGCGUUAUCCGGAAUCAUUGGGUUUAAAGGGUCCGUAGGCGGUCUUGUAAGUCAGUGGUGAAAGCCCAUCGCUCAACGGUGGAACGGCCAUUGAUACUGCAGGACUUGAAUUAUUGGGAAGUAACUAGAAUAUGUAGUGUAGCGGUGAAAUGCUUAGAGAUUACAUGGAAUACCAAUUGCGAAGGCAGGUUACUACCAAUUGAUUGACGCUGAUGGACGAAAGCGUGGGUAGCGAACAGGAUUAGAGACCCCAGUAGUCCCUGUCUCUUAUAC
rnacentral:rRNA from 1 species